GACAGAGGUGCCAAGCGUUAGGCGGAAUCACUGGGCUUAAAGCGUGUGUAGGCGGAUCGUUAAGUGCCUUGUGAAAUCCCACGGCUUAACCGUGGAACUGCUCGGCAUACUGGCGGUCUUGAGCCAGCUAGGGGCUACCGGAACAAAUGGUGGAGCGGUGAAAUGCGUAGAUAUCAUUUGGAACGCCAAUGGUGAAAACAGGUAGCUGGGGCUGUGCUGACGCUGAGACACGAAAGCCAGGGGAGCAAACGGG
rnacentral:rRNA from 1 species